AGAUUAAGUUAUUAAGGGCGCACGGUGGAUGCCUUGGCACUAGAAGCCGAUGAAGGACGUUACUAACGACGAUAUGCUUUGGGGAGCUGUAAGUAAGCUUUGAUCCAGAGAUUUCCGAAUGGGGAAA
rnacentral:rRNA from 2 species